GUGGAUUAGAUACCCUGGUAGUCCACGCCGUAAACGAUGGAUACUAGCUGUUUGGUUGUAAGACUGAGUGGCUAAGCGAAAGUGAUAAGUAUCCCACCUGGGGAGUACGGGCGCAAGCCUGAAACUCAAAGGAAUUGACGGGGGCCCGCACAAGCGGUGGAGCAUGUGGUUUAAUUCGAUGAUACGCGAGGAACCUUACCAGGGCUUAAAUGUAGUAUGACAGGUUUGGAAACAGAUCCUUCUUCGGACAUAUUACAAGGUGCUGCAUGGUCGUCGACAGCU
rnacentral:rRNA from 1 species